AUGAAGAAGAAAACAGAGCAAUAUGAACGAAUGACGUGGAAAGAUAACUGAGGAAUCAAUAACAUGGAAGAAAAAACAAGGGAAUUGGUGGAACAAGUUACAGUCUAAUCCUCUCCUGUUCACUAACCUUAAUAUGCAACCUUGAAAUAACACAAGUCACAAAUACUGGUAAAAUUCCUGAUUUUCUGACAGAGUGGAUAGUACACAAGCUUAACAAAAAAAUACAUUUUGACCGUAACUUUC